rnacentral:rRNA from 1 species
UAAGCGGAGGAAAGAAACUAACAAGGAUUUCCCUAGUAACGGCGAGCGAACGGGAAAGAGCCCAGCUUGAAAAUCGAGGGGGUCUUUGGCCCAUUCGAAUUGUAGUCUGGAGAAGGGUCCUCUGCAGCGGACCGGGCUAAGGUUCCCUGGAAUGGGAUGCCAGAGAGGGUGAGAGCCCCGUCUAGCCCGGACCCUGUUGCUUCACGAGGCUCUGUCUACGAGUCGGGUUGCUUGGGAAUGCAGCCUUAAGCCGGUGGUAAGUUCCAUCGAAGGCUAAAUACUCAUGAGAGACCGAUAGCGCACAAGUACCGCGAGGGAAAGAUGAAAAGGACUUUGAAAAGAGAGUCAAAAAGUGCUUGAAAUUGUUGGGAGGAAAGCGAAUGGAUGCCUCGGUUGCUUGUUGGCUGUGUGUGGAACGGUCCUUUGGGGCUGGUCUGCCAAUCAGCUCAACAGGCUCUCUAGCGUGGGAGCUGGUGGUGUUAUCAAGUGUUUGAGGCCCUAGGCCUCAUGCUUAUGACGCUGCCAGUUCUUUCUUAUGUGGGUGCGCCGGUUUCCGGCAGGGCUUUGUGCCCUUGCAUCCACAUGACGCUGGUGUUCUGGGCGUUCCAUUCGACCCGUCUUGAAACACGGACCAAGGAGUCUAACAUGUAUGCGAGCCUGUGGGUGACAAACCUCUUCAGGCGAAAGGAAACUGAUCAGUGGGAUCCCUUUUGGGUGCACCAUUGACCGACCUUGAUCUUUUGUGAAAGGUUCGAGUGCGAGUAUACCUGUUAGGACCCGAAAGAUGGUGAACUAUGCCUGAGCAGGGCGAAGCCAGAGGAAACUCUGGUGGAGGCUCGUAGCGAUACUGACGUGCAAAUCGUUCGUAGGACUUGGGUAUAGGGGCGAAAGACUAAUCGAACCAUCUAGUAGCUGGUUCCGGCUGAAGUUUCUCUCAGGAUAGCUGGAGCUCAUUCAGAGUUUUAUCGGGUAAAGCGAAUGAUUAGAGGCCUCGGGGGUGAAACACCCUCGACCUAUUCUCAAACUUUAAAUGGGUAAGACGUCGGGGUUGCUCCGGUGAACCCCGGCCUUGAAUCUGAGCUCCAAGUGGGCCAUUUUUGGUAAGCAGAACUGGCGAUGCGGGAUGAACCGAA